AAUUGACGGGACCCGCACAAGCGGUGGAUGAUGUGGAUUAAUUCGAUGCAACGCGAAAACCUUACCUACCCUUGACAUGUCCGGAAUCCCGAAGAGAUUUUGGGAGUGCUCGCAAGAGAACCGGAACACAGGUGCUGCAUGGCUGUCGUCAGCUCGUGUCGUGAGAUGUUGGGUUAAGUCCCGCAACGAGCGCAACCCUUGUCAUUAGUUGCCAUCAUUUGGUUGGGCACUCUAAUGAGACUGCCGGUGACAAACCGGAGGAAGGUGGGGAUGACGUCAAGUCCUCAUGGCCCUUAUGGGUAGGGCUUCACACGUCAUACAAUGGUCGGUACAGAGGGUUGCCAACCCGCGAGGGGGAGCUAAUCCCACAAAGCCGAUCGUAGUCCGGAUCGCAGUCUGCAACUCGACUGCGUGAAGUCGGAAUCGCUAGUAAUCGUGGAUCAGCAUGUCACGGCGAAUACGUUCCCGGGUCUU
rnacentral:rRNA from 1 species